rnacentral:tRNA from 1 species
GGCCCCUUAGCUCAGUGGUAAGAGCAAGCGACUCAUAAUCGCUUGGUCGCUGGUUCAAAUCCAGCAGGGGUCA